CAAAGGGAUUACCGGUGGCGGAUGGGCAUGCGGCGCAUUAGCUAGUCGGCGGGGUAACGGCCCACCGAGGCGACGAUGCGUAGGGGUUCUGAGAGGAAGGUCCCCCACACUGGUACUGAGACACGGACCAGACUCCUACGGGAGGCAGCAGUGAGGAAUAUUGGUCAAUGGGCGCGAGCCUGAACCAGCCAAGUCGCGUGAGGGAUGACGGUCCUACGGAUUGUAAACCUCUUUUGCCGGGGAGCAAGCGUGCGUUCGUGGACGCGCGUCGAGAGUACCCGGAGAAAAAGCAUCGGCUAACUCCGUGCCAGCAGCCGCGGUAAUACGGAGGAUGCGAGCGUUAUCCGGAUUUAUUGGGUUUAAAGGGUGCGUAGGCGGGAUGCCAAGUCAGCGGUAAAAAUGCGGUGCUCAACGCCGUCGAGCCGUUGAAACUGGCGUUCUUGAGUGGGCGAGAAGUAUGCGGAAUGCGUGGUGUAGCGGUGAAAUGCAUAGAUAUCACGCAGAACUCCGAUUGCGAAGGCAGCAUACCGGCGCCCUACUGACGCUGAGGCACGAAAGCGUGGGUAUCGAACAGGAUUAGAUACCCUGGUAGUCCACGCAGUAAACGAUGAAUGCUAACUGUCCGGCUCGAAUGAGCGCUGG
rnacentral:rRNA from 1 species